CCAGACUCCUACGGGAGGCAGCAGUGAGGAAUAUUGGUCAAUGGGCUUACGCCUGAACCAGCCAAGUCGCGUGAGGGAAGACUGCCCUAUGGGUUGUAAACCUCUUUUGUCAGGGAGCAAUUGGCGCUACGUGUAGCGUUAUCGAGAGUACCUGAAGAAAAAGCAUCGGCUAACUCCGUGCCAGCAGCCGCGGUAAUACGGAGGAUGCGAGCGUUAUCCGGAUUUAUUGGGUUUAAAGGGUGCGUAGGCGGUCGGAUAAGUUAGAGGUGAAAUCCCGAGGCUCAACUUCGGAAUUGCCUCUGAUACUGUUCGGCUAGAGAGUAGUUGCGGUAGGCGGAAUGUAUGGUGUAGCGGUGAAAUGCAUAGAUAUCACGCAGACCUCCGAUUGCGAAGGCAGCAUACCGGCGCCCAACUGACGCUGAAGCACGAAAGCGUGGGUAUCGAACAGGAUUAGAUACCCCAGUAGA
rnacentral:rRNA from 1 species